rnacentral:lncRNA from 1 species
CAGAGCCUCAAAGAGCACCCAGCAUAACUGUGGGAGAAUAGUAAGCAUUGGACACAAAAUGGUUUAGGCAAAUAAUGAUGAACAAAAAUGGUCAGUCUGUGUUCCUGCUGACCCAGCACAGUGGGGACGCUGUGUAGGACAUGACCUUUGGGGGAAAGGACACAAGAACUCAGCGUGGGGGAUCCAGAAAAGAAGUCGCACGUAUUGAAGCCAGUAACGCCAAGCCAGUGAAUUCUCCUUGACGAGAAAGACCCACUUACUCUGCAGAAGAGAUAUAUGACAGCUGACAAUCCCUGGAGGAGAAUCUUUCUACUAAAUUGGUAAGGGAUGCUAAGCAAAUGAUGUGGACUCAGGAAACAACGCAUUUCAUGAUAUACGGUUGCCUCUCAAGGUGAAUUCGAGACCCCUCUUGAAUUACAAAGAGUUGAAAACAUUCAAGUACGGAAUAAACUAUUACUGCGAAUACGCUCAUAUGACACAAGAACAAUCUCUGAGCUUCUUUGAGGAUGUCCAGAUGACUGCUGACUGCACUAAUUGCAUCAAUCGUGUAUCCAUACAGGUUCUUUCUAUAAAAUAGUGGUCGCUAGUUAUGAGGCGUUAAGCCUUCAUGGAUAUAAACAGACUAUUCCACCUAAGUGAUCUGGCAGAAGCUUAGUUUUCUACCACAACAUCCACCGUCCUCCCUCCCUCCCUUCCUAGCUGGUCAGAAAAGCUACUCAGAAUAAAGACUACAUUUCCCAGCCAUCUUUGCAGCUAGGUUUAUCCACCUGACUAAAUUCCACCGUAACUCCAGGUUGAAGAACUUCUACUUAUAGGCAUCUAUUCAACGAAGACGAAUCCUGGAAUGGGGAUGGAAAUGAUGGCUCAUGUCUUAGCAAACUACCAAACUGAUCCGAGAGGACAGGGAAGUCAGUGUGGGCGGCUCUAAGGAGCCUCCCUCUCUACAGCUGCGGCUCAGAGGAUUACGGCGCUUCAUCCACAAGGCAACAUUGCACAAGUAGCUUUUGAACAAAAGUCAUGGAUACUAUUAAUGAUAUGUUCCCACACACAUUUAGUGUCGUCUCAAAAUUCACGCUGUCAACUGUCUCUAGGAAUCAUUUCCAUCUGAGAACAGACCACACAAAGACACAGUGAAACUCAGUUUCUGCAGAAUUUGAUUUCAUUUGAGUUACUGGGGAACAAAGCAAUUAGACAAUGAAUAAUAGCUCAAGACAGGCUGAAGCUGAAGAUUUCUGCAAAAGAAUGAAGAGGAAACGUUUUGAUCCUGAGCAGAUGUUCUCCCUAGAUUGCUUCACCUGAGGUUGAUUGACUUUUGGAAACGAGAUUUGUUCCCAGUGCUUUGUGAGUCUCUUGUUGGAAGGACUGUCUUUAAAUUAAAGCAAUUAGAGUUACUUUAUAAGAUUUACCCAAAUAUAAGAGCUGAAGAGAAUAAUUCAAAUUGAUCAGAAGAAAAUACUCAAUUACUGACAAAUGUCAAUUACAUCAAUAGCCUAGGCUGCUCUUGAACUCCUGGGCUCAAACGAUCCUCC